rnacentral:rRNA from 1 species
UACGUAGGUGGCAAGCGUUGUCCGGAUUUACUGGGCGUAAAGCGCACGUAGGCGGCUUUUGUAAGUUAGAGGUGAAAGCCCAGGGCUCAACCCUGGAAUUGCCUUUAAGACUGCAUCGCUUGAACAUCGGAGAGGUAAGUGGAAUUCCGAGUGUAGAGGUGAAAUUCGUAGAUAUUCGCAAGAACACCAGUGGCGAAGGCGGCUCACUGGCCCGAUACUGACGCUGAGGCACGAAAGCGUGGGGAGCAAACAGG